UACGUAGGGUGCGAGCGUUGUCCGGAAUUAUUGGGCGUAAAGGGCUCGUAGGCGGUUUGUCGCGUCGGGAGUGAAAACACCGGGCUUAACUCGGUGCUUGCUUUCGAUACGGGCAGACUAGAGGCAUGCAGGGGAGAACGGAAUUCCUGGUGUAGCGGUGAAAUGCGCAGAUAUCAGGAGGAACACCGGUGGCGAAGGCGGUUCUCUGGGCAUGUCCUGACGCUGAGGAGCGAAAGUGUGGGGAGCGAAACAGG
rnacentral:rRNA from 1 species